rnacentral:rRNA from 1 species
GACAGAGGUCCCGAGCGUUGUUCGGAUUCAUUGGGCGUAAAGGGUGUGUAGGAGGUUGGGUAAGUCAGGUGUGAAAUCUCAGAGCUUAACUCUGAAACUGCGCUUGAUACUGCCCAGCUAGAGGAUCGGAGGGGGUAACGGAAUUCAUGGUGUAGCAGUGAAAUGCGUAGAUAUCAUGAGGAACACCGGUGGCGAAGGCGGUUACCUGGAAGAUUCCUGACUCUGAAACACGAAAGCCAGGGGAGCAAACGGG